rnacentral:rRNA from 1 species
UACGGAAGGCAGCAGUGGGGAAUAUUGGACAAUGGGCGAAAGCCUGAUCCAGCCAUGCCGCAUGAGUGAAGAAGGCCUUCGGGUUGUAAAGCUCUUUUAGUGAGAAAGAUAAUGACGGUACUCACAGAAGAAGUCCUGGCUAACUCCGUGCCAGCAGCCGCGGUAAUACGGAGGGUGCGAGCGUUAAUCGGAAUUACUGGGCGUAAAGGGCACGCAGGCGGUUAAUUAAGUUGGAUGUGAAAUCCCCGGGCUUAACCUGGGAAUGGCAUUCAAGACUGGUUAGCUAGAGUCUUGUAGAGGGGGUGAAUUCCAUGUGUAGCGGUGAAAUGCGUAGAGAUGUGGAGGAAUACCGGUGGCGAAGGCGGCCCCUGGACAAAGACUGACGCUCAUGUGCGAAAGGCUGGGGAGCGAAACAGGGAUUAGAUACC